CUUUUUUCCCUUCCUCUACUGUGCGUUUCUCAUCUCUCACAAACCUCUCUCUCUCUCUCUCUCUCUCUCUCUCUCUCUCUGUGCUUAUUCCACUUCACCGCCACACCGAAAUUGGAAAAACGUUCGGCAGCUUUACAAAAAACCCAGCCUCGUCGCACCUAUUUUCUCCCGGCAGCCACCCUACCUCACGUCGGAAACACCUUGGAAAACCGCCCAACGCACACAUGAAACCUCUGUUUUGAUGUUCAGAAACAGAGCACUCCACCAUGCCCAACCAGCAAGAGCACAAAGCCACAGAGCCACCGUGAGCUUCCACCUUCGGAUGCUGUCCUGGUUAACGCACAGACCAGCCGCCGCGUCCAACUCUUUGCCUCUCUUUCACGCGUCUUCUCCAUCCAGUGCACGCCGCAAGACCUUCAUUUUCAAGCAGCUUCUCUCGUCGGAAACAGCCACCAUGCAAGGUAGCAGCUGUCCUGGUUAACGCACAGACCAACCAUCGUUCCUCGAGUCCCCCGUGCUUCUCUCCAACAUAAAGCUUUUCAGGGUGAAAGUGAUGCAUAUACGGCUGAAUUUGAUGCCGUUUUCAAGCGAGUUGUGGAGAUUGAAACGGGUAAUCCUCCAGCGGCGAAAAGGUUUGUGGAGAAUCUUCCCUCUGUGGAGUUAACGGUGGAGGAAUUACUGGGAACGCUCUGGUUUGCGCAAUUUGCAAGGAUGCGAUUGUGGUGAAAGAGAAGGUGAGGCAGCUUCCGUGUUCUCAUUACUAUCACGGGGACUGCAUUGUGCCGUGGUUGAGCAUAAGGAACAUCUGUCUCGUUUGUCGGUAUGAGUUGCCCACCUAGGAUCCUUAGUAGAGGACUGGUGGUGGUGGUGGUGGUGGUGGUGGCAGCGGGGAGCUACGUCUUGAGGGGCUGGGCUUACAGGGAACCGCAUGCAAGUAGUGGUCUGUGGUCUGG